rnacentral:rRNA from 1 species
CGCAAGCCUGAUCCACAAUGCCGCGUGCAGAUGAAGCCUUCGGUUGUAAACUGCUUUUGUACGGAACGAAAAGCCCUGGGUUAAUACCCUGGGGUCAUGACGGUACCGUAAAAUAACACCGGCUAACUACGUGCCACACCGCGGUAAUACGUAGGUGCGAGCGUUAAUCGAAUUACUGGGCGUAAAGCGUGCGCAUGGGUUUUGUAAACAGAGGUGAAAUCCCCGGGCUCAACCUGGGAACUGCCUUUGUGACUGCAAGGUAAGUACGCUUUUUGGAUGGAAUUCC